CUGCUGCCUUCCGUAGGAGUCUGGGCCGUGUCUCAGUCCCAGUGUGGGGGGCCUUCCUCUCAGAACCCCUACGCAUCGUCGCCACGGUGGGCCGUCACCCCGCCGUCUAGCUAAUGCGCCGCAUGCCCAUCCGCCACCGGAUCGCUCCUUUGGCCACCGGAGGAUGCCCUCCGGUGGCGUCACGGGGUAUUGGGCCGCGUUUCCGCGGGUUAUCCCCCUGUGGCGGCCAGGUUGCAUACGUGUUACUCACCCGUGCGCCGGUCGCCGGCGGG
rnacentral:rRNA from 1 species